ACUAGUGACGAUAGCGAAGUGGAUACACCUGUUCCCAUUCCGAACACAGAAGUUAAGCACUUCAACGCCGAAAAUAGCAGUAAUGCGAAAAUAGGAAGUUGCUAGUC
rnacentral:rRNA from 1 species